UGCCAGCAGCCGCGGUAACACGGGGGGCGCAAGCGUUAUUCGGAAUUAUUGGGCGUAAAGGGCGCGUAGGCGGCCUGAUAAGUCAGGGGUGAAAUCCCUCGGCUCAACCGAGGAACUGCCCUUGAAACUGUCAGGCUCGAGGCCGGGAGAGGGUGGUGGAAUUCCCAGUGUAGCGGUGAAAUGCGUAGAUAUUGGGAGGAACACCAGUGGCGAAGGCGGCCACCUGGACCGGUUCUGACGCUGAGGCGCGAAAGCGUGGGGAUCAAACAGGAUUAGAUA
rnacentral:rRNA from 1 species